rnacentral:lncRNA from 1 species
AGUUCAUGCAAAUGCCAUUACAUUGUACAGAAAAAAGGAUGUAAUGCCAUUUUUUUCAUCUAUCCAAAUGUGCAGGGCACAGAGACAGAAUCAAAUGAAGACUAUGGGAUGUUAUUCAGAUUAUCACAGGAGGGAGGCAUCACCUAUACAAAUUUAAUCCAGCAAGUCUCUGUCUCACCUAAUGCAAUUCUUCCUGGUGCUGAGGUGGCAGGUGGUCUUCCUCUGCUCCAAAACACUUAUGGCAGUUUCAUGCAGCUAUUGCAAGCUCCUAUUGAAUCAGAGAGUGCUCUAUAUUUGACAUCCAAUAGAUUUGAGUAUGACAACACCUUUUGGGGUUUUGAUCCUCACAAUGGUUAUCAACAAAAUGACCUACAAAAUGCACAAACAGACACCUCUCAGAUGUGCAACUCUUUGCCACAAAGUGUGGCUGUGCAUCCUCCUGUGGCAUCAUUGGACAUGCUAUAUGAUGAAAUGCAGAAAUCAAGCGCUGAUGUUGAUAAUCAAGCUGAGAUGUACAGGCCAACAGUACAAUUGAAAGCAUCAUCUGUAGAAGUGAUUUAUAAUGAAAUGCAGACUCAAACUAUUAAGGCUGAUGCCUGUUUUGACCAGCACUUUGAGCAAGCAACAGAAGAGGAUUUAUUGUCUGAUCAUGCAAUAGUUACAUUUCAGCAAGUUGAGGAAAUAGAACAAGAUAAAAGUGCAAAAAAUCUAGAUCAAAAUUUUAGUGAGGAAGAUAUAAACAUAUUUCUGGAGAAUGAAAGUGUAGCAGUUGUUCAGAGAGGUGGUCAGGAUGCUAACAGUGCACAUGUGCCGUCAAUCAACAAAGUUUUUGGUGAUGAGAAUGAAGCUUUUGACUUCUACAAUGGUUAUGCUUAUAUGGUUGGUUUCUCUGCAUGCAAAGCUAGCAAUUACCAUAGCAGAAAAACCGAUGUUGUGACAAGGCACACGUUCAAAUGCAACAGGUGGAGGAAACCAAGUGAUCCAAAGGAGAAGGACCUGCCUGAGGUUGAUGAAGUUGAGAAUUGUUUGCAAACAAACACAACAAAUCCAUUAGUAAAAAAGAGAAAACAGAACAAAGUGGUUUACACAAAUUGCAAAGCUGAGAUGGUGAUAACAUUGAAGAGGGGCUUUUGGUACAUUACAAGGCUCAAUCUAGAGCACAAUCAUCCACUAUCUCCACCAGAAGAAAGAAAAUUCCUA